AGAGUUUGAUCAUGGCUCAGGAUGAACGCUAGCUACAGGCUUAACACAUGCAAGUCGUGGGGCAGCAUGGUGUUGCUUGCAACAACCGAUGGCGACCGGCGCACGGGUGAGUAACGCGUAUCCAACCUGGCCCUUAGUAGGGGAUAGCCCGGCGAAAGUCGGAUUAAUACCCUAUGUUUUCCCAUGAGAGCAUUUGAAAGGGAACAAAGAUUCAUCGCUAGGGGAUGGGGAUGCGUCCGAUUAGCUUGCCGGCGGGGUAACGGCCCACCGGGGCGACGAUCGGUAGGGGUUCUGAGAGGAAGGUCCCCCACAUUGGAACUGAGACACGGUCCAAACUCCUACGGGAGGCAGCAGUGAGGAAUAUUGGUCAAUGGGCGAGAGCCUGAACCAGCCCAAGUAGCGUGAGGGAUGACGGCCCUACGGGUUGUAAACCUCUUUUGUACGGGAAUAAAGUGCGCCACGUGUGGCGUUUUGUAUGUACCGUAAGAAUAAGGACCGGCUAAUUCCGUGCCAGCCGCUGC
rnacentral:rRNA from 1 species